UCGUUAGCUCAGUUGGUAGAGCAGUUGACUUUUAAUCAAUUGGUCGCAGGGGACAGACCGUGAACGCAGUGAGCGGGCUGCCCGCAGGGCGAG
rnacentral:tRNA from 1 species